AUACGGAGGGGGCUAGCGUUGUUCGGAAUUACUGGGCGUAAAGCGUACGUAGGCGGACUGAUCAGUUGGGGGUGAAAUCCCAGGGCUUAACCCUGGAACUGCCUUCAAUACUGUCAGUCUUGAGAUUGGAAGAGGUGAGUGGAAUUCCUAGUGUAGAGGUGAAAUUCAUAGAUAUUAGGAGGAACACCAGUGGCGAAGGCGGCUCACUGGUCCAAUACUGACGCUGAGGUACGAAAGCGUGGGGAGCAAACAGGAUUAGAUACCCGAGUAGUCC
rnacentral:rRNA from 1 species